UACGAAGGGGGCUAGCGUUGUUCGGAUUUACUGGGCGUAAAGCGCACGUAGGCGGGUUGUUAAGUCAGGGGUGAAAUCCUGGAGCUCAACUCCAGAACUGCCUUUGAUACUGGCAACCUAGAGGCUGGAAGAGGUUAGUGGAAUUCCCAGUGUAGAGGUGAAAUUCGUAGAUAUUGGGAAGAACACCAGUGGCGAAGGCGGCUAACUGGUCCAGAUCUGACGCUCAGGCGCGACAGCGUGGGGAUCAAACAGG
rnacentral:rRNA from 1 species